rnacentral:rRNA from 1 species
AUUGAACGCUGGCGGCAGGCCUAACACAUGCAAGUCGAACGGUAACAGGAAGAAGCUUGCUUCUUUGCUGACGAGUGGCGGACGGGUGAGUAAUGUCUGGGAAACUGCCUGAUGGAGGGGGAUAACUACUGGAAACGGUAGCUAAUACCGCAUAACGUCGCAAGACCAAAGAGGGGGACCUUCGGGCCUCUUGCCAUCGGAUGUGCCCAGAUGGGAUUAGCUAGUAGGUGGGGUAACGGCUCACCUAGGCGACGAUCCCUAGCUGGUCUGAGAGGAUGACCAGCCACACUGGAACUGAGACACGGUCCAGACUCCUACGGGAGGCAGCAGUGGGGAAUAUUGCACAAUGGGCGCAAGCCUGAUGCAGCCAUGCCGCGUGUAUGAAGAAGGCCUUCGGGUUGUAAAGUACUUUCAGCGGGGAGGAAGGGAGUAAAGUUAAUACCUUUGCUCAUUGACGUUACCCGCAGAAGAAGCACCUGCUAACUCCGUG